rnacentral:rRNA from 1 species
GCACGGGUGAGUAACGCGUGGGUAAUCUGCCCCUGAAUCUGGGAUAACGCUGCGAAAGCGGUGCUAAUACCGGAUGACAUCGAAUUGACUUCGGUUGAUUGGAUCAAAGGUAGCCACUCCAUGGAAGCUACUGUUUGGGGAUGAGCCCGCGUACCAUUAGCUUGUUGGUAGGGUAACGGCCUACCAAGGCGACGAUGGUUAGCUGGUCUGAGAGGAUGAUCAGCCACACUGGAACUGGAACACGGUCCAGACUCCUACGGGAGGCAGCAGUGAGGAAUUUUGCGCAAUGAGGGAAACCUUGACGCAGCAACGCCGCGUGAGUGAUGAAGGCUUUCGGGUCGUAAAGCUCUGUCAAGUGGGAAGAAAUCCCGGGAAGUGAACAGUUUUUCGGGUUGACGGUACCACUGAAGGAAGCACCGGCUAACUCCGUGCCAGCAGCCGCGGUAAUACGGAGGGUGCGAGCGUUAUUCGGAAUUACUGGGCGUAAAAGGGCGCGCAGGGCGGGUCGUGUAAGUCAGAUGUGAAAGCCCGGG